UACGAAGGGGGCUAGCGUUGUUCGGAAUACUGGGCGUAAAGCGUGCGCAGGCGGUUCUAUAAGACAGAUGUGAAAUCCCCGGGCUCAACCCUGGGAACUGCAUUUGUGACUGUAGAGCUGGAGUACGGCAGAGGGGGAUGGAAUUCCGCGUGUAGCAGUGAAAUGCGUAGAUAUGCGGAGGAACACCGAUGGCGAAGGCAAUCCCCUGGGCCUGUACUGACGCUCAUGCACGAAAGCGUGGGGAGCAAACAGG
rnacentral:rRNA from 1 species